rnacentral:rRNA from 1 species
UGUACAGGAUAGGUAGGAGCCUUUGAAACGUGAGCGCUAGCUUACGUGGAGGCGCUGGUGGGAUACUACCCUAGCUGUGUUGGCUUUCUAACCCGCACCACUUAUCGUGGUGGGAGACAGUGUCAAGAGGGCAGUUUGACUGGGGCGGUCGCCUCCUAAAAGGUAACGGAGGCGCUCAAAGGUUCCCUCAGAAUGGUUGGAAAUCAUUCAUAGAGUGUAAAGGCAUAAGGGAGCUUGACUGCGAGACCUACAAGU